rnacentral:rRNA from 1 species
UACGGAGGGGGCUAGCGUUGUUCGGAAUUACUGGGCGUAAAGCGCACGUAGGCGGCUUUGUAAGUUAGAGGUGAAAGCCCGGGGCUCAACUGCGGAAUUGCCUUUAAGACUGCAUCGCUAGAAUUGUGGAGAGGUAAGUGGAAUUCCGAGUGUAGAGGUGAAAUUCGUAGAUAUUCGGAAGAACACCAGUGGCGAAGGCGACUUACUGGACACAUAUUGACGCUGAGACGCGAAAGCCAGGGGAGCAAACGGG